GUUGUUUCCACAGUUUGGCUAUUGUACAUAGAGCUGCAAUGACCAUGAGAGUGCUAGUGUUAAUAUCUCUUCAAGAUCCUGAUUUGGCCAACAGGAAUAGGAAAAGAUGCUCAACAUCACCCAUCAUCAAAGAAAUGCAAAUCAAAACCACAGUGAAACAGCACCUCACACUGCUUAGGAUGGCUAUUAUAUAAAACAACAGCAAACCAAAAACCCCAAAAGACAAGUGUUGGCCAGGCUAUGGAGAAACUGAAACCCUUGUGCGCUGUUGGUAGGAAAGUAAAAUGGUGCAGCCACUGUGGAAAACAGUAUAGAGAGUCCUCAAAAAAUUAAGAAUAGAACUACCAUGUGAUCCAGCUAUCCCACUUGUGGAUAUUUGUGCAAGCAAGUUAUUUUAAGGUGACUUUAAUUCUGUCCAACUCUACAUUGCUUUAACCAUCUGGGUGGAACUAUUUCAGCAUUUCUCACCCCAUUUCCUUUUAUGGAAAAUAGCACAAACAAAGCAGAGGACUCAGAAAUUCUUUAGUCAAAUAAUAAGAACGGACCAUGCUGAAGUAAAACAUUGUGUUAAAAUACCAGAUGAACUUGAAAGUUAGACAGCAGUUUUAGGAGAAAUUAAUGUUCUGGAAAGACACUGGCUUGUAUGCAAAUGUAGUCUUAUAUAAUUGUUUCCUGUUUCGCUUUCCCUCUCACUCACCUGAGCUGAGUCAGUUAAAAAUUUGCCUUUACGGCCGGAAGGCUUGAGUCAGGAAUGAAAAGAAGGGAACCCUGAAAGAGCCUUCAAGAGGAAACUGCUGCCGAAACUUCAAACCCAGGUCCAAGGAGAUGUGACUUGCACACGUGCUGUAGAGGGAGAACAGUCCGCUGGGUCUCCUCUGCUCUCCUGCUCUGCUGCAACUCUGCUGCACUUCUGACACCAGACGUGUGGGGGUUCCACACAUCAAGCAAGUCUGGAACACAAGACGCCCCUAACCCCCAACUCAGAGGCCCAUCUCAAGUCUAGGUUGUCACCUGUGCUUCUGACCCACCAGCUGUAGAUCGGUGGUUCCCACAACCCCCUCCUCGGAUUCAAUUAAUUUGCUAGAAUGGCUCACAGAACUCAGGAAAACAGUUUCCUUGCUAGAAUACUGGUUUCUCAGGAACAGCCAGAUGGAAGAGAGCAUAGGGCAAGGGGCUGGCCCCAUAGCUGAGUGGUUAAGUUCGUGCGCUCUGCUGCAGGCAGCCCAGUGUUUCGUUGGUUCGAAUCCUGGGUGUGGACAUGGCACUGCUCAUUGAGCCACACUGGGGCAGCGUCCCACAUGCCAUAACUUGAAGGACCCACAGUGAAGAAUAUACAACUAUGUGUUGGAGGGCUUUGGGGAGAAAAAGGAAAAAAAUAAAAUCUUAAAAAAAAAAUUUUC
rnacentral:lncRNA from 1 species